AAAAAGAGAGCAAAAGCAGCUUCUUCUUUAAAGGACAAACAGAACAACAAAAAAAUUCAAACGUUUAAGAGAAUAUGAGCAUGCAUGCCAUGUUUUACUUUAAAAGUCCCUAAAGCUAAAACAAUUCACGAGAAGAAAAGUACCCUUGUCAUCAUUCCUACAACACAUCUCUCUCAAGUCUCAAUAUCAAUCCAUUCAUACAUAUCUUCUUAUUUUUCUACAAUAAUAAUUCAAAUUAGUACCUAAAUUAAAUAAGAAAAAAAAAAUACAUAAAUGUUAACCACAUACAUGAUACAUUUUUUACUUUCAUCAAGAACAUGGACAAUCAUAGAUGCAGAAGAGGGUAACGGAAUGAACCGCGUACACCUAUCCAAUAAGCGAAAGAAUUUUGAAAAAUUCUCUUACUCCAUUGCCAAUCAACUUUACAAUGUUUUGCGCCAGAAGAUUUCAGGUUAGAUGUACUUCACCAUGCCAGUUCUCUCCAUCAAACUUUGAUUCUAGACCAUAGAGACAAGCCUUCAUUAACGGUUGUGGAGUGGAUCAUAAGUGUUUGGAACUCUUCUUUUGUUUGCAAAGAACUCAUAGAAAGGAGGCUGCUCUACUUCUUGUUGUUGUUGUGGUUGCUGUUGUUUCUCUUGAACUUCUUGAGAAUGCUCAUCAGUUGCAAAGCUACUUGUUGGCUCCAUCAUUUCAUCUGCUAAGCAUGAAACCAAUAACAUUGCAAGUAGAAGUAACAUACUUAACUUCUUGAACAACAACUCCAUUAUUUGUAGACAACUUCUAGUGUUCUUUGGCCUUAAAGAAGUGAAAUAGAGUUGUUCGGUUUGGUUAUUUGGCUUGAUAGGCAAGGUAGAAGAUAGAUAGUCAAGAAAGUUAGAAAAGGUGGAAAUAGAAAAAGAUCAAAAGUUGAUUGGGUUUGUUGUGGUAAGAAAAAGGUAACAAAAUGCUAUUGAUUACAUCCUCCAAACAAGGGACACAGCUCACAAAAAAAGUGACUACUUUUAGUAUAAAUUUAGAUAGUUUAAUUUCUUGCUUUUCAGUCCUUAAAGGGUGACUGAGUUAGUAAAAGCAUUUCUAUACAUUUCUUGGCUUUUUGUCAAUUAGCUCAUGUUGUUGCUUAAAGCCUAACUUGCAUGCUUGAACAUUCUAAUUAACAUUGUUAAUCUGUAAUAAUGCAAUGCAAUAAAAUUUCUUAAUCAAUUACUUUGUAUAAGGUGACAUUGUCUUUCUGCAGAACCAUUAGAUUGUCUUGUCCCACAAACUCUGGCCCAAGGAGGUCAAGUUUUCAUGGAGCUGGUCGGUCCGAUUUGGGUCCAGUUUUGCAAGCAUUCAGGGCCAUGGAACGAUUGAUUGAUUGUGUAGGACUACUUGUAGGAGUGGGGUAUAUCUAGGUAGGUACUUCGUAUUCCUUCGGCAACUGCUAGUGUUUUUCUUUUUGCUAAGUUUCCGCAACCACUAGCAUCUGCCUCAGGCUGUAGUCUGAUGAGGGACUGAUAUUGGAAGUAAGGCUAUCCUCAGGUUAUAUAGUCUUAUUACUUAAGUACUUAACUCAUGUACUGCAGUGAGUGCGUUCAGUUGGCUAAUCCAGGGACCUGGCUAACGAGUAACGACCGA
rnacentral:lncRNA from 1 species